rnacentral:rRNA from 1 species
CAGUCGCCGCGGGAAUACAGAGGGUGCAAGCGUUAAUCGGAAUUACUGGGCGUAAAGCGCGCGUAGGUGGUUUGUUAAGUUGGAUGUGAAAUCCCCGGGCUCAACCUGGGAACUGCAUCCAAAACUGGCAAGCUAGAGUAUGGUAGAGGGUGGUGGAAUUUCCUGUGUAGCGGUGAAAUGCGUAGAUAUAGGAAGGAACACCAGUGGCGAAGGCGACCACCUGGACUGAUACUGACACUGAGGUGCGAAAGCGUGGGGAGCAAACAGGAUUAGAUACCCCGGUAGUCCCUGUCUCUUAUAA